UUAAUUGUUGUAUUAUUUGAUUUUUUUGUGAAUUAAGUUGGUUAUGAAAAACAAUUUUUGUUUCACUAGUUUUAGUAAUUGAUAUUGAAUAAAUUUUUAUUAUAAUAGUUUACUAGUACCGUGAGGGUAUAUUUAACAUUGUGUAUUACAAAGUAUUUCUUUUGAAUAAAAGUACCUUUUGUAUCAGGGAUAUUCUAAUUUAUUAAUAUAUAUUAAUAUCUCGAAAUAAUUAGAGCUAUAUUAUUUUUAUAGUAAGUGUAACAUAACUUUUGUACAGGGUAAUAUGGUUGGUGAAAUGCCAUUCGAUAAUUGUGAUAUCUAGUUAUUUAAUAAUUGAAUUUAAUUCGGUUAAAGUUAAUUGAACCAAAUAUCUUGGGUAUUUGAUUUUUUACUUUUUAAAGUUGGUGGGGGAUUAGCUUCAUUAAUUUGUCGUUAUUUAUAAUGUUGUCUAUUUUUGUAAUUGAGUUGGGCUUGAAGGUAGCUAUAUUUGUCUUGUGAUGGUGUUAUGAUUUUUUUUACAUUAGUUGUUAAUUUUGUUUCUUUUAAAUAAAAUAUUAAAUAAAUUAAUAUAACAAUAAUAAUUGUUGAUAUAAUGAAUAUAUUAGUAUAUAAUUUUGUAUUUUGUAUUGUGUAAUUUUAAUGAAAGGAACUAGGCAAUAUUUGAUUAAUUAAUCUCUCGCCUGUUUAUCAAAAACAUGUCUUACUGAAUAUAUAUUAGGUCUGACCUGCCCAAUGAUUUAUAUUUAAUGGCCGCGGUAUAUUGACCGUGCAAAGGUAGCAUAAUCAUUAGUCUUUUAAUUGUAGGCUGGAAUGAACGGUUGGACGAGGAGAAAUCUGUCUCUUGUUUAUUAGUUGAAUUUAACGUUUAGGUGAAAAGGCUUAAAUGACUUUGUAGGACGAUAAGACCCUAUAGAUCUUAACAUUUUGUUAAGUUGUUAUAAUUUGUUAAGUUGAAUUACUUAUUUUUAAUGUUUCGUUGGGGCGACGGUGAGAAAUAAAGAUCUCUCAUUUGUUAAUUACAUUUAUAUAUGGUUGUUUGAUCCGUUAUUUGCGAUUAUAAGACUAAGUUACCUUAGGGAUAACAGCGUAAUCUUUUUAGAGAGUUCUUAUUGAUAAUAAGGGUUGCGACCUCGAUGUUGGAUUAAGAGAUAAGGUUUGGUGCAAAAGCUGAAAUGAUUAGGUCUGUUCGACCUUUAAUUUCUUACAUGAUCUGAGUUCAAACCGGCGUGAGCCAGGUUGGUUUCUAUCCUCAGGAUAGUUUAAAUAUUUUAGUACGAGAGGACCAAAUAUUUAAAAUACUUUUUAUUUUUUGUAUAAAAAUA
rnacentral:rRNA from 1 species